AUGGCACCGUCCUCAUUGCAGCAUGACGCGACGGCCGUCGUCGCUUCCUCGAGAGUCAGCGGCGAGCAGAGCUCCGCGAGGGCGGGGUCGAAGAUGGGCACGCGGUACGGCAGCUCCUCCUCGUCGGUCUCCACGUCGCACUUCUGCUCCUCCGGCGAGUCCCCGCCGGACGCCUGCGGCACGACGAGCCGCCUCGAGAGCAGGCGCCCGACGCUCUUGGCCUGCGAGCGCGGGGUCCGCGCCUUGCGCUUGAACCACGCCGGCACGACCUCGUCGCCGCGGCGCCUCUCCCGCGGGGCCGCACCAGGGAGCAGCGGCGACGUGGGCCGCAGGCGCACCCGCUCGUGCCUCCGCGCGAGAGGGUUCGCGGAGUGCACCGAGGUGUCGCACCCCUGGCACAGGAACGCGUCGUCCGCCGCGCAGUACCACCUCGCCCGCCGCCGCAGGCAGCCGUCGCACGCCCGCGCCGCCUUGCUCCCCAUCGCGCCGUCCGCCGCCUUCCCCGAGCAGCUCAUCAAAUGA
rnacentral:rRNA from 1 species